rnacentral:rRNA from 1 species
GAUGAACGCUGGCUACGUGCCUAAUACAUGCAAGUCGAGCGAAAAGACCAGGAGCUUGCUCUUCUCACGUUAGCGACGGACGGGUGAGUAACACGUGGAUAACCUACCUAUAACACAGUGAUAACUAAGGGGACCCGGGUCUACUACCGACCACUAGAUUGAACCGCCUGGCUCCAUACUACGAGUAGGUUUUUCUGUGACUUGUAAUGGGAUCGGCGCCGCAUAAGCUAGUUGGUAAGGUACCGCCUUACCAAGGCAACGAUGCGUGGCCGACCUGAGAGGGGGAUCGGCCACACUGGAACUGAGACGCGGUCCAGACUCCUACGGGAGGCGGCAGUAGGGAAUCUUCCGCAAUGGGCGAAAGCUUGACGGAGCAACGCCGAGUGAGUUAUGAAGGUCUUGGGAUCGGAAUACUCUGUUACUAGGGAAGAACAAAUGUGUAAGUAACUAUGCACGUCUUGACGGUACCUAAUCAGAAAGCCACGGCUAACUACGUG